rnacentral:rRNA from 1 species
GGGUGAGUAACGCGUAAGGAACUUGCCUCUUGGACUGGGACAACUGUUGGAAACGACAGCUAAUACCGGAUAUUAUGAGAUUCUCGCAUGAGAAACUUAUGAAAGCUAUAUGCGCCAAGAGAGAGCCUUGCGUUCCAUUAGCUAGUUGGUGGGGUAACGGCCCACCAAGGCGACGAUGGAUAGCCGGCCUGAGAGGGUGAACGGCCACAAGGGGACUGAGACACGGCCCUUACUCCUACGGGAGGCAGCAGUGGGGAAUAUUGGACAAUGGGCCACAAGCCUGAUCCAGCAAUUCUGUGUGCACGAUGAAGGUCUUCGGAUUGUAAAGUGCUUUCAGUUGGGAAGAAGAAAGUGACGGUACCAACAGAAGAAGCGACGGCUAAAUACGUGCCAGCAGCCGCGGUAAUACGUAUGUCGCAAGCGUUAUCCGGAUUUAUUGGGCGUAAAGCGCGUCUAGGCGGAAAAAUAAGUCUGAUGUUAAAAUGCGGGGCUCAACUCCGUAUUGCGUUGGAAACUGUUUUUCUAGAGUACUGGAGAGGUGGGCGGAACUACAAGUGUAGAGGUGAAAUUCGUAGAUAUUUGUAGGAAUGCCGAUGGAGAAGUCAGCUCACUGGACAGAUACUGACGCUGAAGCGCGAAAGCGUGGGGAGCAAACAGGA